UUAAAGAGUUCUAUAACUCCCAAACCCAUGUGAACAUACCUAACGUUGCCUCGGCAGGUCGCACCUACCUUGUAGCACCCUACCCUGUAGGGCCUACCCGGGAGGUGCGGGUAAGCCUGCCGGCGGCCCACCAAACUCUGUUUGAUAUUGAAUUCUGAACCUAUAACUAAAUAAGUUAAAACUUUCAACAACGGAUCUCUUGGUUCUGGCAUCGAUGAAGAACGCAGCGAAAUGCGAUAAGUAAUGUGAAUUGCAGAAUUCAGUGAAUCAUCGAAUCUUUGAACGCAUAUUGCGCCCAUUAGUAUUCUAGUGGGCAGGACCGUUCGAGCGUCAUUUCAACCCUUAAGCCUUCGUUGCUUAGUGUUGGGAGCCUACGGCAACGUAGCUCCUCAAAGUUAGUGGCGGAGUUGGUUCACACUCUAGACGUAGUAAUUUUUUAUCUCGCCUAUUAGUUGGACUAAUCCCCUGCCGUAAAACCCCUAAUUUAUCAAGGUUGACCUCGAAUCGGUUCAGACAAACUCGCUAAAUUGAAGCAUCUUAGUCAGCGAAGGAAAAGAAACCAACAGGGAUUGCCCUAGUAACGGCGAGUGAAGCGGCAACAGCUCAAAUUUGAAAUCUGGCCCUCGGGUCCGAGUUGUAAU
rnacentral:rRNA from 1 species